AAUAGCUGUGUCAAUCCUCUGCACGACUAAUCUUUCAGUCCCAUUGAAGGUGCGUCCAUAAUUUUCUUGUCAUACACUACUAGGGAAUAUACUUCUCUUGAUGUCGCAUACCAUCUAUAGUAGCUGUCUAUUUUUCUCGAUGUAAUUAUCUUUUGGGAUGGUUACACUGCUUAGUGCAAUAUAUUGUUUUCUGAUGUGUUUUCACUUUGCACUUGCAUGCUGGAACAUGGGAGGAAAAGAACCUCAAUUCAUGGGGCUAAUGGUAGGGCACCCAGGAGGUGCAGCACCGGAUCCGCAUCACCCUCUCCUCCAAGUCCGUCAAGAACCUCGAGAAGGGUGGGUGCCCGGUGAUUGCAGUUGCGCCUGACGCAAAAUCUGGGGCCGCGCGCUGGCGGUCACCUGCGCCUGACGCAAAAUCUGGGCGUAGCUUGGCGCCGGAAUGCCAUUUCUCUUCACUGUGUGGAUCUGCGUGCGCGCGGGCCGACGGUCCAGACGCCAGCCGAUGGGCAGCCUCGCCGGCGGGGUGGUGGCCAGGCGGCCGCGGUUCCUGUGCAUGCACGUGUUCCGGACCAGCGGCGAGAUCAUGCUGAAGCAGGUGGUGGGGAAUUGGCCUGACGAGGUCACGGUGCGCUUCGACCUCGUCUUCGCCGACGCGCCCUUCCCCGCCGAGGGCAAGUCCGACGUCGACGACAUCUUCGACCCGCCCUACUACGAGUGGUUCUAGUUUGACAAGGUUGCGGUUUUAGGAUCUGGCAGUAGCCAGAUCUGUUUGUGCUUAUGCCCGAAGGUAAAAUCUGGCGAUUUGGUACAAAGCCAAGUGUGAAGCUAUGAAGCGUAUCAACAAAGAGUAGCAUAUGUAUUGUAAUAGUAGGCAGUAUUAGGUAUAUCUGGGUAGUGGUGUAGUGUAAAGAUUGUAAUAGACAAAUUUGAUGUUGGUUUGGACGAAUUUCAUUUGCUCCCUAGCCUGUUUGAAAUUUUGAUUCUGAAUGUGAUUUGAAUACCUAUGAAAUGACAACUUGACAAGGGGACCAAGUUAUGAUAUUUA